rnacentral:rRNA from 1 species
UACGUAGGGGGCAAGCGUUGUCCGGAUUCAUUGGGCGUAAAGAGCAUGUAGGCGGCCAGGUAGGUCGGUUGUGAAAACUGGAGGCUCAACCUUCAGAGGUCGACCGAAACCAUCUGGCUAGAGUCCGGGAGAGGAGAGUGGAAUUCCUGGUGUAGCGGUGAAAUGCGCAGAUAUCAGGAGGAACACCAAUGGCGAAGGCAGCUCGCUGGGACGGUACUGACGCUGAGGCGCGAAGGUCAGGGGAGCAAACGGG